UCCAUUGUGACUGGGCAGUGGAGAAUCCAAGCAGCUGUGAGACAGAGCUGUCAAGCAAAGAAAGAACAUAGACAUCUGAAGAGGAGAAGCAGGGUCAGUGGAUGAGCAGAGAGUGAUGCAAUUGCACCUCAUGACCCCCGCUCCCCAUUGUGUGAAAACACAGACCUUAGUGGCUGCCAGACGAAAUUAAAAAUGGGCCCAUGAAACCGGGGAGAUUGAGAACGACAUAAAGAAUGCUUCAGAGGCCCCAGAUUUUAAGUGCCUUUCCACUUAAUUGUCUUCGGUUGCCAGCUAUGGAAGGAAUGGAGAGGGAGAGGGAGAGGGAGA